rnacentral:rRNA from 1 species
GACGAACGCUGGCGGCGUGCUUAACACAUGCAAGUCGAGCGGUAAGGCCCUUUCGGGGGUACACGAGCGGCGAACGGGUGAGUAACACGUGGGUGACCUGCCCUUAGCUCUGGGAUAAGCCUGGGAAACUGGGUCUAAUACCGGAUAUGACUCCAUGACGCAUGUUGUGGGGUGGAAAGCCUUGUGCGGCUAGGGAUGGGCCCGCGGCCUAUCAGCUUGUUGGUGGGGUGAUGGCCUACCAAGGCGACGACGGGUAGCCGGCCUGAGAGGGCGACCGGCCACACUGGGACUGAGACACGGCCCAGACUCCUACGGGAGGCAGCAGUGGGGAAUCUUGCGCAAUGGGCGAAAGCCUGACGCAGCGACGCCGCGUGAGGGAUGACGGCCU